rnacentral:lncRNA from 1 species
GAAACUUUGAGAAUUACAUGGGGAAAGAGAGUGGACCACCUCAGCCCAAUCUUCAAAUCACGCCCAUCAAUGUGUCAGAUGUCUUGGAUGAAAGAUUGGGAGAUGAGGUGAAUUGGUGGGAAGGAUGAUUUCAGGAAUCCUGUCUUCUAAUGUUGAAUUUGGCAGAAAUCAACAAUCCAAUUCAGGAUAAAGCCCAGGAAAUCUGGUUUACCCGGACGAUGUACAGCAUGUGCCAUGCCAUGAAUAAUGGAUGAUAACCUACAGGUUCAGAAAAAUGCAGAGACGAUGGAGUGUGUUGUUUCUAGACUCUCCCUGAGAUUCAGAGCCAUUUGCUGACUGCAAGAUCUCAAUUAAUUUAGAAAAUCCAAAAUUUUAUCGGUACAUGGAGGCGCUAGAUAGGAAUACCCUCUAAAGAAAAUGGAUGGAGAAGUUGCCUUGGGGAAGAGAACCAGAUGGACCAUGUGGCUUUUACUUAGUCUUAAAGGUACAGAAGAAAGAAGCAAGCCUUUAGGAUCCUACUCACUUGAUUUGUAGGAAGGAAGAGGCAAUGGGACACGUGAAUGAAGUUAAUAGGACACAGGACUCAAUUCUGGAUGCCAUGUUGCAUUUGGUUAUCCCGUAUUAGGCGUUUUCAAUCUUUGAAAGUUUCCUGGUCUUUUAAAUCAUGAUUGACUGUUUUGAAGAGUACUGGAUGUAGAGUUUGUAGAAUGAUCCUUGACUUGGCUAUUUUCUCAGGAUUCGAUUGGGGUUAUGGAUUUAGGGGAAGAAUAUCCAAGAGAAACAUGAGAGAUCCAUGAUGAAUCAUCUCCCAGCAACAUUCACCUACAGUUUCUAUAUUUUCCUGGCUUCUGCUGGAUUUUCCCAAGAGUACACUUCUGCCAGCCAUUCUGAUUAAUUUUACUCACAGUGUCUGAGACCAAAGUUUUUCGAUGUUUCUCAUACAGUGUUUAGUUAAGGUUACUGUCAACAGGACUCCAAACAGCAGAAUGAGGCCCACCUGUUGUAAUCAUCUUAACAAUACCCUCCAAGGUCAUGGACCAAACCAACUGAACAAAUCCUCAGGACUUUCUCCUUAAGUUUCUGUAUGCACCUUGCACGUGGCCUGAAGCAUUAUUUCAGGUCCAGCAGGAUGUAUCGGUGAGCGCACAGCCUCUACCUGGAAACAUAAGGAGGAAGUCUAGGC